rnacentral:lncRNA from 1 species
AAUUACCGAUACUCCCAGUUUUAAAAAGGGGGUGAAGAGGCUUAGUUGUGAGUGAUGCCAGCCCUGUCGGUAGAGUAUGGGAUCCUAAGAUAUCUCUAGAGCUGGAAGGGACUUCAGACACCAGUUGGUUCAACUCAUUUUCAUUUUACAGAGGGGGAGACUGAAGGCCAAGCAUGGGAAUGAAUGGAAGAGGGCAGAGGGACACAAAAUCUAGGGAGAGCCCCAUCAUCCUGCCCUCAAUGGUCCCUCUGCAGGAGGCCUUCCUCUACACUCCGCCAGGCCGCUGCCCCGUGCUGCCAGGGACCCAGAGCCAGCCCCUGCCCCAGGUACCCUGAGCCCACACUCUUCAGGUAGGAAGAGACUUGGAGAAUUCAGAAGACUUGGGCUCAGACCCUUACUAGUUAUAUAGUGAAGGGCCUUGAGAUCAUGUCACAUGAGGACCAGUUAAAAAAACCCUUCUGAUUGUGGAAGGCCUCAGGUAAUGUCACCUGAAGGACCAGAAGAUGUUUAACUUGGAGAGGGAAGGUCUCAGGUGGCUGGCUGGGUAGGUAGGGGUUGUCUUGGCUUUUCUGAAAGGGUUCUCUUUCUGAAGAGGGAUUGAAUUUGGUCUUUUUGGCCUCAAAGGGUGUUAGGGUAAAAAAUGAAAGUGGCCAAGAGCCAAAUUAUGUUUGGGGUCCGGAAAAAUUUCCUAAAAUUUGGGAUGCCCCCACCCCCACCCCCCAGAGGUACUGAGCUCCUCAUCAACAUCAGCCCUCCAGCAGAGGCUGGCUGACCAGGGAUUGGGGAUGUGAGUUGGUUUGGAUAACGAACAUUGUUGAUUUUGCCACAAAUAUAUUUAUUAAAUUCUCCAUCAGAGACGUAGCCUCUGACGUUUCUAGUAACUUUCCAGAAGUUUCCAAGAGCUCCAUAGUCCGACGUGAGCACGUUCUAUCCUUAGUGACGUACGCCCCGUCCCUUGGUAACAGGAAAGGACACAUUCCAGAGGGGCUUGAGUAGGUUACCAGUCAGCCUCAGCGCUCAGAUCUCUACCACGGAGCUGCUGGCUGCCCCCCCCCAUAGCCCCCUUGGGGGACUUUUUGCCCUUCUCGGCUAUCACCUAAUUGGAGGGGGGGGAUCUGAGAGGAGGGCGGGGGGCAGCUGGCCCUCGAGCUCAGCCCCAUCCGCGAGCUCAGAAAAUCUAGGUGUUGGGGGCGGCCCGGGCAGGGAUUGAGGCAGUCGAGAAGCGGGUAGCUUCUCGCGCCUCCCCACGCCCAGGCCUCCUCCCCCCACCUUUCACACGCUUGGGACUGGAGCCCCGAGCCUGCGCAGUGCGAGCUCAGCGAGCGCCAGU